rnacentral:rRNA from 1 species
AUUGAACGCUGGCGGCAUGCCUUACACAUGCAAGUCGAACGGCAGCACGGGUGCUUGCACCUGGUGGCGAGUGGCGAACGGGUGAGUAAUACAUCGGAACAUGUCCUGUAGUGGGGGAUAGCCCGGCGAAAGCCGGAUUAAUACCGCAUACGAUCUACGGAUGAAAGCGGGGGACCUUCGGGCCUCGCGCUAUAGGGUUGGCCGAUGGCUGAUUAGCUAGUUGGUGGGGUAAAGGCCUACCAAGGCGACGAUCAGUAGCUGGUCUGAGAGGACGACCAGCCACACUGGGACUGGGACACGUCCCAGACUCCUACGGGAGGCAGCAGUGGGGAAUUUUGGACAAUGGGCGAAAGCAUAAUCCAGCAAUGCCGCGUGUGUGAAGAAGGCCUUCUGGUUGUAAAGCACUUUUGUCCGGAAAGAAAUCCUUGGCCCUAAUACGGUCGGGGGAUGACGGUACCGGAAGAAUAAGCACCGGCUAACUACGUG